UACGUAUGGGGCAAGCGUUAUCCGGAUUUACUGGGUGUAAAGGGAGUGUAGGCGGUACGGCAAGUCAGAAGUGAAAGCCUGGGGCUCAACCCCGGAAUUGCUUUUGAAACUGUCGAACUAGAGUGUCGGAGGGGUAAGCGGAAUUCCUAGUGUAGCGGUGAAAUGCGUAGAUAUUAGGAGGAACACCAGUGGCGAAGGCGGCUUACUGGACGACUACUGACGCUGAGGCUCGAAAGCGUGGGGAGCAAACAGG
rnacentral:rRNA from 1 species